CGAGCAUGGGACUGCAAGGUGUGGUCGCUUGACUGUCACUCAAGAGAUUCAGAUGGGUUCGAUCCCCAUAUGCUCGG
rnacentral:tRNA from 1 species